CGAGCAGCCAUCCCGGUGGCGGCUGCGGCUCACCAACAGGGGGUUUGGCGUGGCGGCCUGCGUGGCGGCAGCGGUUCCGUCCCUGACUCCACGUCAGAAGCCAGCUCCCGUGUCACAUGGAGGAUGGGAGCUCUGCUUGGCUCAGAAGGAAGAGGGACGUGCGACUUGUGGUCAGAAGGGCUUUCCCGCCAGAGAGCCAGACGGGGCUCUCCAGCCCGGUCUGCUCUGUGUGUCCACACCGGCUCAGGCCCCCCGGAGGGGCUCCGGUGGUGCACAUGGCCAGGUCCCCGACGUAUACUGCGUCUCCACGAUGGUGAAGCUGCCACCGUUCUGGAUGGGACGUCUCUGGAAGCAAACUGCUCUCUGCUGACAUCAUGGCAAUGAAAUCUAACUUUCUUUCCGAGCUGUCAGGGAGGUUUUCCCACUGCCAUCACGGUUAUGUUUGUGGUCUCGCCAUCCAGGCAGGAGAGAAGCUGCGUUCACAGAAGGUGAUGCGUUCACAGAAGGUGAUGCAUUCACAGGUUCCGGGGGUCGGGAUGUGGACCUCUUUGGGGAGGGGCAUUAUUCUGUCCAUCCCACAGGGAAUAUUCCAGCAGCGACGGGACUGGGCAACGUGACACCCUCCCAAAGUCUGUGCCCGUAGCCAUCCUUAGCCCAGAGGGGCAGCAGCCGCCUCUACCCCCCUCCUCCCUGCUCCUGCCGCCCCCUCCCCGGCCUGAGUGGAGCCGGGUGUCGGGGUGUUGGGACAGGUUGGAGUCCAUCAUUCAGGCCCCUAAGAGAGCAGGAGCUCUGCCUUCACAGCCCAGGGGCCAUGCCCGGGUCUGGGUGGUCCUGCGUCCAGGCGGUGGGGGUCAGUGGGGAGAGGGGCUGGGGCUGGACCCUGAGCUCACUUAUCUUUUUCUGUUGUUUUUUAAUCGAGGUGAAACGCACACAACAUAAAAUUAGCUAUUUACAAGCAAACAGUUCCGUGGCAUUUCGCACAGUCACAGCGCCGUGCAAGCACCACCCCUCUCUGGUUCCAGGACAUUCUCCUCCCCGCGAAGGGGGCCCGGUUCCCAUCAGGUGGUUGGUCUCCCCCUCCCUCCGUCUGCUCGGUCUCGGUGGCGUCUCCUGCCCCGGCGGCUCGUGUAAUGGGAUUGCACGACACACGCCUUCUGCGUCUGGGCCUGUUCGCUCAGCACCGUGUCUCCUAGGUGGAUCCACAUUGUGGCCAGUGUGGCCGAAUCCCUUCACUGCAGUUUGUCCGCCCACUGGCAGCUGGCGUUGGGUUUCCCCAUUUGGCUGCCGUGAGCCCUCGUGUGCGAGUUCCUGUUUGGGUCCUUGUUUCAUUUGGGGGCACGUACCGAGGAGCAGAAUUGCUGGUUGUGAUGGUUUGACUUUUUGAGGAGCUGCCAGACGAUUCCCCACAGUGGCUGCGCCGUGUUACAUUCUCACCAGCAACACCUGACGUUCAAAUUUCGCCACAUCCUCGCUGAUAACAAUAUCCCUUGUUAUGUUCUGGUUUGGGGCUCUUGUUUUUUCCAGCCGUCCCGGUGGUGUGAGGCGGUGUCCCUCUGCGGUCAUUGUUCUGGUGACGACGAGCGUCUUCCGUGGACUCGCUGGAGAGACGUCUGACUGCUCAGGUGCUCCGAUGGGAAAGCUGGGCUCAUCCCAGCAGAGAGAGGCCAUUGCAGAGACUGUGUUGGCUGUUGCCGGAGAGCACAAGUGAA